CGGCAACAGCUCAAAUUUGAAAUCUGGCCUCUUUGGGGUCCGAGUUGUAAUUUGGAGAGGAUGUUUCGAAUAUAGCCUGGGUUUAAGUUCCUUGGAACAGGAUGUCAUAGAGGGUGAGAAUCCCGUAUGCGACUUGGUGUCUAUGUUCAUGUGAAGCUCCUUC
rnacentral:rRNA from 1 species